rnacentral:rRNA from 1 species
UACGGGGGGGGGCAAGCGUUGUUCGGAAUUACUGGGCGUAAAGGGCUCGUAGGCGGCCAACUAAGUCAGACGUGAAAUCCCUCGGCUUAACCGGGGAACUGCGUCUGAUACUGGAUGGCUUGAGGUUGGGAGAGGGAUGCGGAAUUCCAGGUGUAGCGGUGAAAUGCGUAGAUAUUGGGAAGAACACCGGUGGCGAAGGCGGCUCUCUGGACCGAUACUGACGCUGAGGCGCGAAAGCGUGGGGAGCAAACAGG